rnacentral:rRNA from 1 species
UCGUGUCGUGAGAUGUUGGGUUAAGUCCCGUAACGAGCGCAACCCUUGUCCUUAGUUACCAGCACGUUAUGGUGGGCACUCUAAGGAGACUGCCGGUGACAAACCGGAGGAAGGUGGGGAUGACGUCAAGUCAUCAUGGCCCUUACGCCUGGGCUACACACGUGCUACAAUGGUCGGUACAAGGGUUGCCAAGCCGCGAGGUGGAGCUAAUCCCAUAAAACCGAUCGUAGUCCGGAUCGCAGUCUGCAACUCGACUGCGUGAAGUCGGAAUCGCUAGUAAUCGUGAAUCAGAAUGUCACGGUGAAUACGUUCCCGGGCCUU